rnacentral:rRNA from 1 species
UACGGGGGGUGCGAGCGUUGUCCGGAAUCACUGGGCGUAAAGGGCGCGUAGGUGGCGUCGUAAGUUUGUGGUGAAAGCCUGGGGCUCAACCCCAGGUCUGCCGCGAAUACUGCGAGGCUUGAGUACUGUAGAGGCAGGUAGAAUAUCGGGUGUAGCGGUGGAAUGCGUAGAGAUCCGAUAGAAGACCGGUGGCGAAGGCGGCCUGCUGGGCAGUAACUGACACUGAGGCACGAAAGCGUGGGGAGCAAACAGG